UACAGAGGUGGCAAGCGUUGUUCGGAAUUACUGGGCGUAAAGGGCGCGUAGGCGGCCUUCUAAGUCGGACGUGAAAUCCCCAGGCUUAACCUGGGAACUGCGUCUGAUACUGGAUGGCUUGAAUUCGGGAGAGGGAUGCAGAAUUCCAGGUGUAGCGGUGAAAUGCGUAGAUAUCUGGAGGAAUACCGGUGGCGAAGGCGGCAUCCUGGACCGAGAUUGACACUGAUGAGCGAAAGCCAGGGGAGCAAACGGG
rnacentral:rRNA from 1 species